rnacentral:rRNA from 1 species
GACGAACGCUGGCGGCGUGCUUAACACAUGCAAGUCGAACGGCAAGGCCCUGCUUGCAGGGUCCUCGAGUGGCGAACGGGUGAGUAACACGUGGGUGCACUGCCCUGCACUUCUUGAUAAGCGUGGGCAACUGGGUCUAAUACCGGAUAGGAGACAUCUCUAGUGUGGGGGUUGGAAAGAUUUUUCGGUGUAGGAUGAGCUCGCGGGCUAUCAGCUCGUUGGUGGGGUAAUGGCCUACCAAGGCGGCGACGGGUAGCCGGCCUGCGAGGGUGUAGGGCCACACUGGGCUCCAGAUACGGGCCAGACUGCGAAGUGAUGCAGCAGUGGGGAAUAUUGCACAAUGGGCGCCAGCCUGAGGCAGCGACGCCGCGUGGGGGAUGAAGGCCUUUGGGUUGUAAACUACUCUGGCUGUGGACGACGCUUUUUUGUGACGGUACCUAGAGAAGAAGCACCGGCUAACUACGUG